AGCCUGUGAGCAAAGAAAAGCCAGUGGAACAGAAAGUGGAAGCUGGUGGCCUGGAUCCAGGGCAAGAAAGGAGCAAAGGGGCUUAAGUACCUCUGAAGCAAAUGAAGACCCCAGAGCAUCUCCUUGUACAGACCAAGUG